rnacentral:rRNA from 1 species
GAGUUUGAUCGUGGCUCAGAACGAACGCUGGCGGCAUGCCUAACACAUGCAAGUCGAACGAGACCUUCGGGUCUAGUGGCGCACGGGUGCGUAACGCGUGGGAAUCUGCCCUUGGGUUCGGAAUAACUCAGAGAAAUUUGAGCUAAUACCGGAUGAUGUCGUAAGACCAAAGAUUUAUCGCCCAGGGAUGAGCCCGCGUAGGAUUAGCUAGUUGGUGAGGUAAAAGCUCACCAAGGCGACGAUCCUUAGCUGGUCUGAGAGGACGACCAGCCACACUGGGACUGAGACACGGCCCAGACUCCUACGGGAGGCAGCAGUGGGGAAUUUUGGACAAUGGGGGCGAACCCUGAUCCAGCCAUGCCGCGUGUGUGAAGAAGGCCUCGGUUGUAAG